rnacentral:rRNA from 1 species
UGAGGAAUAUUGGUCAAUGGGCGGAAGCCUGAACCAGCCAUCCCGCGUGAAGGAAGAAGGCCUUAUGGGUUGUAAACUUCUUUUCUGUUUGAAGAAUAAGCUUGUCGUGACAAGUGAUGCCGGUAGGACAGGAAUAAGCAUCGGCUAACUCCGUGCCAGCAGCCGCGGUAAUACGGAGGAUGCAAGCGUUAUCCGGAUUUAUUGGGUUUAAAGGGUGCGCAGGUGGUUUAAAAAGUCAGUGGUGAAAGUCUGCCGCUUAACGGUAGGAUUGCCAUUGAUACUGUUGGACUUGAAUAUGGAUGAGGUAGGCGGAAUGUGUAGUGUAGCGGUGCAAUGCUUAGAUAUUACACAGAACACCGAUUGCGAAGGCAGCUUACUAAUCCAUGAUUGACGCUGAGGCACGAAAGCGUGGGGAUCAAACAG